CAGGUCGCACGAAUCCGGGUAGCAUAUCCGGGGGAAGUGGCGAAAGGGGCAGUAAUGUAUGGGCAACGUACCCGGGGGUCGUGGAUAGCCGUCCUAACGGACGGGUAAUACACGGCGAUUCGGCGAGGGGACAUCCCCUUGCCGGGAAAGAAUUUCGCCUCCGGAGCGGCUCAUAUCGUAUUAGCUAGUUGGUGAGGUAACGGCUCACCAAGGCAAAGAUGCGUAGCGGGUGUGAGAGCACGACCCGCGCCACUGGCACUGAGACACUGGCCAGACACCUACGGGUGGCUGCAGUCGAGGAUCUUCGGCAAUGGGCGAAAGCCUGACCGAGCGACGCCGCGUGGACGAUGAAGGCCUUCGGGUUGUAAAGUCCUGUCGAGGGGGAUCAAGGGCAACUUGAGUGAUCCCUGGAGGAAGCACGGGCUAAGUUCGUGCCAGCAGCCGCGGUAAGACGAACCGUGCAAACGUUAUUCGGAAUCACUGGGCAUAAAGGGCGCGUAGGCGGCUCAACAAGUCAGGGGUGAAAUCCGGCAGCUCAACUGUCGCAGUGCCUUUGAUACUGUCGAGCUCGAGGGAGGUAGGGGUCUGUGGAACUUCCGGUGGAGCGGUGAAAUGCGUUGAUAUCGGAAGGAACGCCGGUGGCGAAAGCGACGGACUGGACCUUUUCUGACGCUGAGGCGCGAAAGCCAGGGGAGCAAACGGGAUUAGAUACCCCGGUAGUCCUGGCCCUAAACGAUGGGUACUAGAUUGCGGACUUACAUGGGUUCGCAGUCGAAGCUAAUGUAUUAAGUACCCCGCCUGGGGAGUAUGGUCGCAAGGCUGAAACUCAAAGGAAUUGACGG
rnacentral:rRNA from 1 species